ACGACCUUACUUGAACGGGAUCUGUUCUAUAGGCUCGUACCUCUGUUUCCUUGAGUUCUGAGGAGACAGGAACCUACGUCUGGUGGAUGAAUCAAGACCGUUUGAUCAGAGCGUGAUUAUUGGCUCGGUAAACCCUUUCUUAGGAAAAGGCUCAUCUUGGGCUGCAGAGGAUCGUUCUCAGACAAAUUCAUCUGCCUGGGAUGGUCACUCGGUUGUCUGACAGACC